rnacentral:rRNA from 1 species
UACGAGGGGAGCUAGCGUUGUUCGGAAUUACUGGGCGUAAAGCGCACGUAGGCGGCUUUUUAAGUCAGAGGUGAAAGCCCGGGGCUCAACCCCGGAACUGCCUUUGAAACUGGAAAGCUUGAAUCUUGGAGAGGUCAGUGGAAUUCCGAGUGUAGAGGUGAAAUUCGUAGAUAUUCGGAAGAACACCAGUGGCGAAGGCGACUGACUGGACAAGUAUUGACGCUGAGGUGCGAAAGCGUGGGGAGCAAACAGG